ACGGGUGCCAACGCGAGAGCGGGUGUCUCGUCUGACCUGCCGUCUCCACACCUGAGGGGCUGUUCCUGUGGAGGGCUGUGUGCUGCCUGGAGGGGACUCUGGGGACUCAACUCUCGGCCGAAGCUGAGGGUUUGAGUUGUGAGGUAGGAACCUUCCAAGGACGGGCAACUCUUUGAGUUGCAGAUGAGGCUUCAGGACUCAGCCUUGAAUGCAAUAGUGAUGGAGUGACUGGGGCCUCCCUGCAAUGAUGGAGGCAUUGAGUUGCAACUCAGGACAGAAGCCGGGAUGGAGAGAAGUCGGGACCCUGAAGGCUGGGGGGAGGUGAUGGUGAAGGGCAGGAGCUUGUGGUAAAAUAGGCCAGCAUGGAGCAGUGCCUGGAAAUCAGGCUGAAUGCUCUCUCCCAGCCCAGGUUGUGCAAAGCUUUGUGAAGAUUCAGCCAAACCAGCAACAGAGAGACGUUUCCAAAAUAAUCAGGAAGGCUUGAGAACUGACUGGUUGUUUGGUCACAUGAGGAGACUGUCAUUAACUACGUACCGUGUGAUGAUGACAAGGCUCCAUUGGACCAGAAGGGCGCUGACAGGAGGACACUGGGCUUCCGUAGGUCAUGUUCCUCGUAUGCAGUCACACAAGGGCACAGCUGGGCCUCCAGCCUGCACUUCGGUCUGCAUCUGGACAGCACCAGCCGGCACCCUGCCUUCCAGUACUCAGGAGCCUAAACACGAAGCACCCUGUUGGUGUGUUUCCUGUGGCGCCCACUGCCCAUGCCCCAUGGGCAACACGCAUGUCUUGGUGGAAAGUGGGCGCCUGCUCCCGCAUCACCUUCCUCUGGGCGUGCAUCCUCACACCCCAAUGCUGAGGCUUCCGACCCGGGCAGGAUAAGAAGACAGAGAGUUAGGAGCGAGAGUGAAUGAAGAACUUUCUCCGAUUGCUGCUUUCUCCAGCUUAUUGCAUCCUGUCGUCUGUGGUUUCGGAUGAUGUGCGGUGUGUCAGGGCUGCUGGGAGCAACAAGCGGGGCGAAUACCAGUGGAAGAGCCAGAAAGAUUGAAAACAGAGGAGGAGGCAGAGGAGAAGGUCGGAAAAUGCCCAUGAGCCCUGGAGAAAAGUGGAGGUGGAGGGAGAAGCGUCCUCAGUGUGCAACCCGUCAGCACGCUUCUUUAAAGCUGCUGGGACCGAAUGGACAGGUGCCAGCCAGCAGCCGGCUGUAGCACCCUUGAAACAGGGGCAUCGAAGAAGCCUUUGUGUUAUUAUUUUCUUUCUGAAAUGAAAAAAAGACGCCCCCCAACAACAAGAAUAACACACAGAGCCCCUCACGCAACAACCAAGGGCAUUCAGCCCAUCUCUAGUCUUGCAGGCGAGCCCUGGCGGGUGUGUGGGUGGCAGGCACCUUCCCUUGGCUGCCCCCCAUCCCCUGGGCAGACCCUGGCAGGCAGUUCCAGGGCACGAGGGACUGAACCCCGUGCAGUAGGUGCAGGGCCCCUCCCUGUCACGUGGAAGCCCCUUGCCACAGCUGGGCUUCUCGACAAGGCUAACGCGAUUUGACAAAAUCCAGAGGCCGAAGGAGGGUAUUGUACUGGCCUGAUGGCUCCCGUGUGGUGGUGGACGUGGAGCAGGAGGGAUGAGAGACAGGCCCCCGGGACUCCAGCCAUGGGUCUGGGUUCCCGUGUGUUUUGUGGCUCUGGGUCUCUCGUUUGCCCAUAGGCUAUAUACCCUCACCCGGCUGCUUGGCAGUUGGGACCAGGGGUCAUGAGCAGCACAGGUGCCCACCUGGUGUUCCCAGGAGUGAAGGAUGUGGGUUCCUGAUGACCGUGAGAUGUGAAAUGUAAGGCGCGAUAGGAGGAACCCGAGGAAACAGCCUCAGUUAUGGAGGAGCAGGCAGAACCCGGGCUCCAGGCGGAGACGUGGGGCCAGAGGACCGGGUCGCUGAAAGCUGGGCACAGAGUUUGGGGCAGGGUCAUGGCCAGGCUUGGGUGUGCCCCAAGAACUCACCACCCAGCCCGUGAGAUGCUGCCAAGACCCCACUCAGGGUGAUGGCAGAGGUCAGCAGGGCACUGGGUCUUUGGAAGCCUUUUUAGGAACGAAAACAGUAAUGCGGGAAGGACUCGACUCUGCCUGGGUCUGGCUGCCCUACAAGGAGUGACGAGGGCUCAGAACUGAAGGCGGAGGCCAGGGGCAACAAGGGAGCUUCGGACACAGGUCAGCGGGGGUGCGCUUCAACAACCUGCACACGCGCGGCUGGCUCUCACCAUCAAUAUCCUCAGUUUACCGCUGAGUAUCUCAAAUCCCAGUCACAGAGCUGAGUCGUAUGUGUGAUGUUAGGUCUUCCUUCUGGAAACCCCGAUCCUGUCCUCAAUGGACGCUGUUCCAGAAGACACUGCUCGUGUCUGCAGGCCACCUGUGCUUGCUUUAAUUCUAGGAUAUGAAAUGCACAGGAGGUCGGGAGGGGGCAGGGUUCGGCUGGCGUGCUCGGUUGCUCAGUCGUGUCUGACUCUUUGUGACCCCAUGGGCUAAUUUAAACGUUGGGACUUAAAGUCUUCAGGGUCAACCUUUGACUAUCAAAGAUAGUUGUUUGUUUUUUUUCAAAAGUAUAAUUAAGUGCUUUUUAAUUUUUAAAUGAAUUUUUUUAAUUGGAGGAAAAUUGCUUUACACAUAUAUAUGCAAUCUAGAAAAGUAGUGUUGAUGAAUGUAUCUGCAGGGUAGGAAUGGAGAUGCAGAUGUGGAGAGCAGACACAGUAGGGGAAGGAAGGAGUGGGACGAAUGGAGAAGGUGGCAUCGACAUAUAUACACUCACACACUCUCGCUAUCAUGUAUGCACUCACUCAUAUACACACUAUCGCUUAUGCACACUAUCAGUAUUGUAAAUACACUGUCGCGUGUAGGAUAGAUGGCCGGCGGGAAGCUGCUCUGUAGCACUGGGAGCCCAGCUGAAAACAGUUGUUAACUGCAGGUGUUGCGUAAAUAAACUCCUGAAACUAAAUCUAACAAUGUAGCUUGAUGCUCUUAGAUUAAAAAAAAAUUCUUUACUUUUAAAGCUCUAUUUCCUCUGUUAAAGUCACUUAAAGGGAUCUUUUAUUAUCCUGGUAAGCCCUGGUUCUGUCUCUCUCUCUCUUUAUAUAUAUGUGUAUACACAUAUGUAAGUAUUAUGUAUAAAACUAAUUUUAACUGGAGUAAAGUUUCAGUAAAGUUAAGUUAGCACAUGCUUUUAAGAAUGUGGUUUGCUAAAAUUGUCUAUUUUGCAGAGAUUGAUGCCUUAUCAUUAAAUGAAUCAAGGCAAGUUGCCCCACCCCAGUUCCCUUGAAAGCCAUCGUCACGGCUGGCAGAGGAGGUGGGGUGACCUCCAUGAGUGUUUUGUCGGCUUAGGUAUUUACAUGUUUUCCAAAUGCUUUCCACUUAGUUUCAGGGCUCCAGGCAGCCCGGGUGGAAUGACUUCUUUAACCUCAAAACACACCCUGAGGGUGCGUGUGGACUCUGCCCCUGGAGCCGACCACUGGUCCCGGAUGGUCUGGGCUGAAGCUCGUGGGGCUGAGACCCACCAGCCCCUCCAGGCCCCUCCAGCUCCGGCUUCAGUGCUCCCCCCUCUUUGCAUUUGUCCAAUUUGAUCGGGAAGCGGGGCUCCGAGCCCGGUUCCUGUCCUGCAGAGUACAGAGAACAUAGUUUGACUUCUGAAGUUGUGUUUACUUUUGUUUCUUCCCUAAGAGCACUGAUUUAAAAAUUAAGGGCCAUGGAGGAAAAAAAGCCUGAUGAUGCAACAGAAAAUAAAGGCAAACUAGCUUUCUAUGUUGCUUGUAAGAAUGGCUGUGUGCUGCCUCGCCUCCUGUUCUGGUGGAAUUUGUCUCAGAAGACAUACAAAAAAAAAAAAAGUUGUUGCUUUAAGGUGAUGUGAUACACAAUACAGAUUUUAUUUCACAUGUAAAUACCGAUUUAUAUGCAGGAAUUGCUGGAACGAGCUGCCAAGGUCGAGAACGUUUCUUCUGCCUCCGGAGUUCUGGUGAGCUUGCUGUAUUCUUUGUAACACUGUGAUUUGUCCUCAUUAUUUUAAAAGCUAUUGCUAACAGUU
ensembl:lincRNA